UCCGUGCCAUUUUGCCAACAAUGGACCCCAAGUCAAGGAUAACCCCAACAUGGAGUUCCUGUGCUUCUUCUCUAGAAGUGUUUUGGGCGAUAGCAAGGUUGAUUGUCAGCAAGAGGAGCAGGAUGACAUUUUGCAGCUCCAUCUGCUGAGCCGUGAGGUGAGAGGCUUCCACUGCACGUCUUUUCUAUUGGCUCCUGUGAUGGUUGACUUGGAUGUAUUAGUGAAAUGCUCUAUGUGUGAUGAUUGACAGACUUUGAAAUGGUCUUUGAAGUUAUGAUUGGCUCAGUGUGAUAUUCUUUACCCCAACAGAGGAAAGGAGCCAAGGAGUGCUGAGGUCAGAUGGUUUCUCCCCUGCAUACAGAUAACUGGACCCUUGUCCAUAACAUGGAAGUGAAUUAUUGCCC